rnacentral:rRNA from 1 species
AUUCCAGCUCCAAUAGCGUAUACUAAAGUUGUUGCAGUUAAAAAGCUCGUAGUUGAAUUUCUGGUCGUGGCGAUCGGUCCGCCCCUCACGGGGUGUGCACCUGGUCUCUACGUCCAUCCUCGGGGAGAGCGCGUCUGGCAUUCAGUUGUCGGGUGCGGGAUCCUCGUCAUUUACUGUGAGCAAAAUAGAGUGUUCAAAGCAGGCUUAGGCCGUUGAAUACAUUAGCAUGGAAUAAUAAGAUAGGACCUUGGUCUAUUUUGUUGGUUUGCAUUCCAAGGUAAUGAUUAAUAGGGAUAGUUGGGGGUAUUCGUAUUCAAUUGUCAGAGGUGAAAUUCUUGGAUUUAUGGAAGACGAACUACUGCGAAAGCAUUUACCAAGGAUGUUUUCAUCA